CCUACGGGUGGCAGCAGUGAGGAAUAUUGGUCAAUGGACGGAAGUCUGAACCAGCCAUGCCGCGUGCAGGAAGACGGCUCUAUGAGUUGUAAACUGCUUUUGUACAAGGGUAAACCUGAAUACGUGUAUUCAGCUGAAAGUACUGUACGAAUAAGGAUCGGCUAACUCCGUGCCAGCAGCCGCGGUAAUACGGAGGAUCCAAGCGUUAUCCGGAUUUAUUGGGUUUAAAGGGUGCGUAGGUUGUUUUAUAAGUUAGCGGUGAAAUACCGAUGCUCAACAUCGGGGCUGCCGCUAAUACUGUAGGACUAGAGAUCGGAUGCAGCAGGCGGAAUGUGUAGUGUAGCGGUGAAAUGCAUAGAUAUUACACAGAACACCGAUUGCGAAGGCAGCUUGCUAGGCCGGAUCUGACACUGAUGCACGAAAGCGUGGGGAUCGAACAGGAUUAGAUACCCUUGUAGUC
rnacentral:rRNA from 1 species